UACCUUGGCAACCCUGCUGCGCAGGCAGUGAGAGUCAACCGGCCCUUUUGUUGGUAUGCGAGAAAUCAAACUUCGGACAUCACAACCGCGACAUCCGCAGCUCGUGAAGCCCGGAAGGUGCAGGACCUGAGAUCUGAGCUGGUCCAGCGUCCCUGAGGAGCCAGGCACCGGACUGUGAGAACUAGGAGGCGAGCUUCAGGCAGAAGGGGAGACAGGAGCUGAUGGGGCCGCUGGCGGCAGCGCGGGCAGGGCUGGCUGCUACCUGGGCCAGAUGGUCAGAAGUACCAGAAGUCGCCACCGUCCCCACCCUUGGCCCCCUAAGCCGGCAUUCACACAUUCUAUUCUCAAGAAAUGGAAGUGGCAGCGGGAGCUGCUGCUCCAGGAAGCCGAGUGGCGUGGAGGGGGGCGCACAGCUGCCACCUGCUUCCAGGCUGGUGUACAAUGGCAAAAUCUUGUCAUACUGCAGCCUGUGCCUCCUGGGUUCAAGAGAUUCUCAUGCUUCAGCCACCCAAGUAGCUGUAAUUACAGGAAGGCAUCACCAUGCGGAGCUGUUUUUUGUGUUUUUAGUAAAGACAGGGUUUCACCAUAUUUCCCAUGCUGGUAUCGAACUCCUGGCCUCAACUUAUCCACCCACCUUGGCCUCGCAAAAUUCUGGGAUUACUGAUGAGAGCCACCAUGUCUGGCAUACCUGUCACUAUCUCUAUGUUUAUUUGUUCAAUGGGAAAAUUCUCAGUGAAGACUCCUCAGUAUGAUGGAGAUAUUCUUGUGCAAUCAAUCAUUGAUAGAUGCAUAGUAGAAAAACUUCCAUUUUUCAUUUGCAGCUCGCAGAGCUAUGAUUAAAAUCUCCUGCUUAUGAACUCAA